rnacentral:rRNA from 1 species
GGCUCAGGAUGAACGCUGGCGGCGUGCCUAACACAUGCAAGUCGAGCGAGAUUUAGUGGAUUGGAGACUUCGGUCAAAGAGAAGCUAAUGAAAGCGGCGGACGGGUGAGUAACGCGUGGGCAACCUGCCCCAUACAAAGGGAUAGCCACUGGAAACGGUGAUUAAUACCUUAUAAGUCGGUAGUCUCGCAUGAGAUAGCCGACAAAGAUUUAUCGGUAUGGGAUGGGCCCGCGUUUGAUUAGCUAGUUGGUGAGGUAACGGCUCACCAAGGCGACGAUCAAUAGCCGACCUGAGAGGGUGAUCGGCCACACUGGAACUGAGACACGGUCCAGACUCCUACGGGAGGCAGCAGUGGGGAAUAUUGCACAAUGGGCGCAAGCCUGAUGCAGCAACGCCGCGUGAGUGAUGAAGGCCUUCGGGUCGUAAAACUCUGUCCUAUGGGAAGAAAAAAAUGACGGUACCAUAGGAGGAAGCCCCGGCUAACUACGUG